rnacentral:lncRNA from 1 species
GUCCCCUUCGAUGGUGUUGGGGUUUUGUUGUUUCGCUCUUUGCAAUAAAUUUUGCUGUUGCUCACCUUUUAGGUCCACACUACCUUUAUGAGCUUUAACACUCACAGUGAAGGUCUGCAGGUUCACUCCUGUAAACCAGCGAGACCAGGAAGCCACCACAAGAAACAACUCUGGAGCCGCCACCUUUAAGAGCCAUAACACUCACUGUGAAGGUCUGUGGCUUCACUCCUGAAGUCAGCGACACCACGAACCCACAGGGAGGAGCAAACAACUCCAGACGCACCACUUUUAAGAGGUGUAACACUCCCUGCGAAGGUCUGUGGCUUCACUCCUGAGGUCGGCGAAACUACGAACCCGCUGGGAGGAAGGAACAACGCGGAUGCGCCACCUUUAAGAGCUGUAACACUCCCUGCGAAGGUCCGCGGCCUCACUCAUCAAGUCGUGCAUAGACCACGAACUCUCUAGAAAGAAAAAACUUCGGACACACCUGAACAUUUGAAGGAACAAACUCCGGACACACCAUGUUUAAGAACUAUAAUGCCGUGAAGGUCCGCGGCAGGACCGGGACCAGGAACUCUUCAGAGGGAACCAAUUCCGGAUACACAGCUUCGUGGAAUGGUUCUGCACUGUGUGUGUGUGUGUUUCCCGUCAACCCUGUGCACACUAUUAGAAGAACACAAGCGUUAAGGCUCCCUCUCAGUCCUGCCGAUGGAAGACAUUGUGAUUUUGACCUUGUUGGAUGCUGCACCUGAAGGUGGAGGAAGAGGAAGAGCCUUGGGGGCUACCAUUCUGGCUGGAGAAGCGGCACGAGGCUCCCUCUUGUGGAUGCAGCAAGACACACAGAGAAGAGACACAUAAGGAGAAGCAGGAGAGACCUCGUG